GGGGGAGCCCAAGGGGCGCCCGCGGGGAGCCCCAGGCCCGUCUCGGCUCGGGGGUGCAGGACGCACAAACUCCGCUGAAUUUUGCCCCCGCUGAGCUCAGAGACACCUUGAAAACUCGGGUUAAGCGAGGUAAAACCUUGCCAGCAUUAAUGCCCUGCACUCGUAUGGAAUAUGAGCCAGACAGAACAUGAGGAGUGUGGCAGCAAGGUCACAAAAAACAUCCCUCGUGCCACCCCAGCACCACCAGAGCCCUGGGAGUGAAGCAGAGGGAAGAAGGGCAUCGGGCAGCAGCAUCGCCUGGGGCUCGUGGAGACGGAGGAGAGCAAAUUUCUGAGACAGUGUCAGGGCACAGCAGCUGUUACCCUGAGUUUGGUGGCUACAGGCUACAAAGGACCUGUCCAAAAACAAGCUCGUCACUGCCACUCGAUAAAAAAACACGAGGACUCGGUGUCCCUUGCCCUCUGUGUUGCGUAAAAAGUGAUGUUGGCCAGGCCAGGUAAACACACAGACUGGAAAAAUGUGAAUUUGUGAGAGCACGGAGUGAGGGGAUUGAUCUGCCUUGGUCCUGACACUGCUGCAUUUCAUGCAUUUCAUGCAGUUCAUGCAGUUCAUGCAGUUCAUGCAUUUCAUGCAUUUCAUGGCCAGAGGGUGAAAAGCGAGUGCUAGGGAAUAUUUUGGGAUGUGCUCAGUGGGUCUGAGCAUGCUCUGGUGUUCCCUCCCUCAGCUUGAUUUUUGCCAGGCAGAUUUAUGUUAAUGUAAAGGUAAAAAUGAAUUUGUGUUACUGUAAAUGUGAAAAUUAUUUAUGUUAAUGUAAAUGUAAAAAUUAAUUUGUGUUAAUGUAAAGGUAAAAAUUGUUUAUGUUAAUGUAAAUGUAAAAGUGAAUUUGUGUUAGUGUAAAGGUAAAAAUUAUUUGUGUUAAUGUAAAUGUAAAAGUGAAUUUGUGUUAAUGUAAAGGUAAAAAUUAUUUAUGUAAAUGUAAAUGUAAAGAUGAAUUUGUGUUAAUGUAAGUGUAAAAAUUAUUUGUGUUAAUGUAAAUGUAAAAAUGAAUUUGUGUUAGUGUAAAGGUAAAAAUUAUUUAUGUAGAUGUAAAUGUAAAAAUGAAUUUGUGUUAAUGUAAGUGUAAAAUUAUUUGUGUUAAUGUAAAUGUAAAAAUGAAUUUGUGUUAAUGUAAGUGUAAAAAUUAUUUGUGUUAAUGUAAAUGUAAAAAUGAAUUUGUGUUAGUGUAAAGGUAAAAAUUAUUUAUGUAGAUGUAAAUGUAAAAAUGAAUUUGUGUUAAUGUAAAGGUAAAAAUUAUUUAUGUAAAUGUAAAUGUAAAGAUGAAUUUGUGUUAAUGUAAAGGUAAAAAUUAUUUAUGUUAAUGUAAAUGUAAAGAUGAAUUUGUGUUAGUGUAAGUGUAAAGAUUAUUUGUGUUAAUGUAAAUGUAAAAAUGAAUUUGUGUUAGUGUAAAGGUAAAAAUUAUUUAUGUAGAUGUAAAUGUAAAGAUGAAUUUUUGUUAAUGUAAGUGUAAAAAUUAUUUGUGUUAAUGUAAAUGUAAAGAUGAAUUUGUGUUAUGUAAGUGUAAAAAUUAGUUAUGUUAAUGUAAAUGUAAAGAUGAAUGAAGGUGAGGGCAGUUGUGAAGAUCCAUUCAUGGAGUUUUGGGCUCACUCAAUAAAUACUGAGAUAAUUCAGGA